rnacentral:misc_RNA from 1 species
AUGAGAAGCUGAGGAGGGAAAUGG